CAUCAGUUAAAAGAAUAUUUCCCUUGGUGUCAGAUACCACGUGAAAUCCUGACUCUGACGUUUAGUGGGCAUCUUGACUCAGCCCCAGGCCUUGAGUCUGGACUCCGCCAGUGCCCUGCCUGGGCUUCCCUCUCACGGCCAUGAGAAGCCCACAUCCACUUGCAGGGCUUCUAUCUCCCUCAGUCGCCCUGCACCUUGCCAUUCCCUUCUCCCUACCACAUAUGUCCAGCUCCAGAGCUUAAAGGGGCCUGGGAACACAGGUGAUCCAUUAAGGCAGGUUCCCUUCAUUUGUGGAGUUCUCCCAGGGUCCAUGAGUCCCAAUAACAGGUUUCUGCCACAGGUUGUGGGGAACAUUUUCACCUCAGAUCAGUCCCUUCCGCAUCUAUCCCAGGCAAGGAAAUAACUAAUUUUCUGAGAUGUGAAAGGUUUGACUUCUGAGCAGCUGUGAGAAUCUUUUUCUGCCCAAUUCCCAGGGUCUGAGGGCUCCUCCAGGCCUCAACCGGGAUCCUCCAGAUUCAUUAACUUUGGAGGGGUAUGAGUUUGAGGGAGGCAGUGAAGACGAAAAGUGAUUUUUAAAAGCCCAGCAGAAUAUCUAGUUCAGGCAGUCCCAAGAAGAGAGAAAGGACAGGCGCAUCAAAUUCACAGGAAAGUCUUCCCCCUGCUGAAGGCAGCUCCAAGCUCCCAGCAUGUGGGGCAGGCUGUUUGGGAAGUGGUUGCAGCUGUUCUCAGAGUGGGUGCCCCAGUCUCGGCUCCCAUCCCGGUCAGGAAGACCAGGCAACAUAGCGGUGCUGCGCUGGGCUUGGCGGAGCUCUGCCUUCUUCAAAUUUGCCUUGUGGUUUGGUUUUGCAAGAGCAGCCCUGGUGCGCCUAUCUUCACCUCUGUGUCCCCUUUUAUAUUAUCAGGAAUUCAGACAGGGCACAGUGGGACGGAAGACUUGAAAACUUGUAUGGUGGGGUGACUUGCCCGGGCCUGGAGGCUGCGCUUCCAAGGUGGCUCAGUCAUGUGGCUGGUAGGUUGAUGCUAGUGGGUUGGUUCCUCUCCACAUGGACCUCUUACAGGGCUUCUUGAGUUUCCUCUCAAGAUGGUGGGUGGCUUCCCCCAGAGCAAGAAAUCUAGGAGACCAAGGCAGAAGCUACUGUCUUUUAUGACCUAGCCUCAGGAGUCACACACUGUCAACUUGGCCGUAUGCUAUUGAACACAGAAGGCAGCCCUGAUCUCAUGCAGGAGGGGACCACGUAUGGGCAUGAAGACCACUGAGGCCCCUUUUGGAGUCUGGCUACCCUUAUCUUCCUUCUGGCCUUAAAUGUUUCACGUCUCUCUUACAUGCAAAACAUAUUAACUCCCUCCCCACGUCCCCAAAAGUCUCAUUCCUUUAUCAUUCAAAAUUAAGGAUGUCAUCAUCAAAAUCAGUUCCAGGUGUGGAUGAUGCGCCUCAG
rnacentral:lncRNA from 1 species